CUAAUGGCCAGAGAUGUUGAACAUUUUUUCCUAAAAUCAUUGUCCAUUUAGUUUUAACAAGCAUUUAGAAGUUUAACAGGUACAAAUAGAAUUCAGUUUCCAUAUAUUCUACCCAAUGAGUUUCUUGUGAAAAUGACGCAUGAUGUGUUUGCUCAUCCAUGUCUUCAUGACAUCCCUUGCAAAUUUAACACCAACACCACAUUUGGACUUUCCAGGUGGUCCCAGUGCAUUAGACACUAUGGGUCAUGGUCAUGUCCUUUGGCUCUCUGCUGGGAACACACCAGCCAACAGCUCAUGGCUGGUGUUGUCACGCUUCCAGGUCUUCACAUUUUUGGCUUUGUUGUAUUCUUUCAAUGUCCUUUAGAAGUUUUUGGAGUGGUGGUUUAGUGGUCAUGAAUUUUGCAUGGUAUUCUUUAUUAUGGAAGUAUUAGUUCUCCAUUCAGGGGUGUAUCCGUCAGGUUUGAAGGGUUGUAUUUAGGGAUUGAAAUAUGUCACUACAAGCUCUCCUUCGCUUCAGGUUAGGUGUUGAG
rnacentral:lncRNA from 1 species